AUAAAAUGACAAGCUUCCAGCCUUCGGACUUGGAAAGGAAGGGAAGUUACUUAAAUCUAGUAUCUUCCAUAUGCCUGGGGCUAUUUCAAGAACAACAAAUCUCUGCGUGUUUAAAAACAGUGCUGUGGAAAUUAGAGCUACAGCAUUUUGUUCUGAAAAUAACUUGGACAGGAGAGGUGAACCAGUGGUACAUGUGCGGGCAAAGCUCUCUGACUUCACUGCACAAUCGUCUCGUCCUCUUAAACAACCAGCUCCCAGUUUCCACAAUACCCCUGUGUACAGAGGAAAGCCAAAAUUAAAAGGUCUCUUUAAUACUCAAGUGGCGAAUUUGGACACUUCCCCAAAGAAAAGAGAUGGGUAGCAACGAAGCACAUGAAAAGCUGCUCGACAACGUUAAUCAUUAAGGAAAUGCAGGUUAAAACCAGAAUGGCUCCAGUGAACAAACCUGACAUUACCAAGUGCUGAGGAGGAUGGGGAGCCCCGGGAAUUCAUACCCUGCUGGUGGGAAUGCAAAAUGGUAUGGCCACUUUGGAAAGCAGAGAGUGUUUCUUGUAACAUGUAACAUGCAUUUACUAUAUACUGCCCAGAAAUCCCACUCCUAUGUAUUUUACCAAGAGAAAUGGAUACAUUAAGUCUCUCCAUCCAAAAAAUCCAACAAACCAGAACAUAAAUGUGGCUUUCAUUGUAGUCACCCAAACCUGGCAACAACUCAAAUGUCUACCAACGGAUGAUGGAUAAUGAGUUAUAAUUGCUGGAAUACCAGUUAGCAAUAAAGAGGAAAGACCUGACACAUGCGGCUAAUGAAUGAAUUUCAGAUGCUUUCUGCUAAGUGAAAGAAACCAGACUCAAAAAGGCUACAUAUAGUGUGAUUGCACUUCUGUAACAUUGUGGAAAAGCUGGGACCCGUGGGGCUAGGGGAAAGCCUGCAAUGGCCCUGAGGCCGGGACUGGGAUUCCACUGCUGGAUUGUCAGCCACUCAGAACACAGACUUUCCUUAUCAGAAUCAGUAGACUGAAUGCAGCCGAGUGCCCUCAGCAGUGUGGGUAGGCCUCACUCAAUUCACUGAAACUCCAGGGACAGGAGCAAAUGUUGUUUUAAAGAGAAUUCACUUUCUCUUCCUGACUGCCUACUACCUGGGCUGUUGGCGCUCUCCUGCCUUUGGACUCCGACAAGAACUGGAGCUCUCCCUUUGGCUCUCCUGGGUUUCUAGCGUGCUGACUGUAGAUCCGGGACUAAUUGGUCUCCAU